CUUGCAUCUAAACGAGAAAGGCGCCUCCUGGUUUCCUUGUGGAUCCAGACUACAGACCCUUGUUCUUCAGGCUUAGAGGUCUUUAACAGACGUCUAGUCUUCUACUCUGGCAAAUCUCAAACUAAGGCAUGAAUCAGAAUCACUUGUGGAAACAUAGGUUGUGAGCCCGACCCUCCAAAUCUCCCAGUGAGACUGAAGCAGAGCCUGCGAAUUUAUAUUUUUGACAAGUUCCAGGAAAUUCUAACGCUGAUAGAUGAGAAACCACCCUUUUCAGACCAGUGGCCUUAUUAUCUACAAUGCUGCUUAUUCCAUGAGACAAACACAUACUGAAGAGUAAGGACUUUGAAACUAGAGACCUGUCUUGAAGAAAAAACUCCACCAGAGCUUAUCAUAUACGGGAGGCAGAUGCUCGCAGCCAACCAUUGAACUGAUCACGAUGUCCCCAAUGGGAGAGUUGGAG